rnacentral:ncRNA from 2 species
AUAGUGGAUAGAGGCGCGGCGCUCAUGCGUACUGCGGGACAAGGCCAGGCAGCCGUCCCGGGGGAGAGGGUGCGCCGCCGAAGGAAGGACGGCCUGCCUGGGCCGCCGGUCCUGGGCCGUGGGAGAAGAUCCCACGGACUGUCACGAGAGUGGAGCGCUAUCCAGAGG